rnacentral:rRNA from 1 species
UGGAGACGUGAGUACGCGUGGAACGUGCCUUUCACUACGGAAUAGCUUUUGGAAACGAAAGGUAAUACCGUAUACGCCCUCCGGGGGAAAGAUUUAUCGGUGAAAGAUCGGUCCGCGUUAGAUUAGCUAGUUGGUGAGGUAACGGCUCACCAAGGCGACGAUCUAUAGCUGGUCUGAGAGGAUGAUCAGCCACACUGGGACUGAGACACGGCCCAGACUCCUACGGGAGGCAGCAGUGGGGAAUAUUGCACAAUGGGCGCAAGCCUGAUGCAGCCAUGCCGCGUGAAUGAUGAAGGCCUUAGGGUUGUAAAAUUCUUUCGCUAGGGAUGAUAAUGACAGUACCUAGUAAAGAAGCCCCGGCUAACUUCGUGCCAGCAGCCGCGGUAAUACGAAGGGGGCUAGCGUUGUUCGGAAUUACUGGGCGUAAAGCGCACGUAGGCGGACUUUUAAGUCAGAUGUGAAAUCCCGAGGCUCAACCUCGGAACUGCAUUUGAAACUGGGAGUCUAGAGAUCAGGAGAGGUUAGCGGAAUACCGAGUGUAGAGGCGAAAUUCGUAGAUAUUCGGUGGAACACCAGUGGCGAAGGCGGCUAACUGGACUGAUACUGACGCUGAGGUGCGAAAGUGUGGGGAGCAAACAGGAUUAGAUACCCUGGUAGUCCACACCGUAAACGAUGAGUGCUAGUUGUCUGCAGGCAUGCCUGUAGGUGACGCAGCUAACGCAUUAAGCACUCCGCCUGGGGAGUACGGCCGCAAGGUUAAAACUCAAAGAAAUUGACGGGGGCCCGCACAAGCGGUGGAGCAUGUGG